rnacentral:rRNA from 1 species
AGGGAAUAUUAGAAAUGGACGAAAGUCUGAUCUAGCAACACCGCGUGUGCGAUGAAGGCCUUCGGGUUGUAAAGCACUUUUUGGAAGGAUUAGGAAGGAGUGUACUUCCAGAAUAAGUCUCGGCUAACUACGUGCCAGCAGCCGCGGUAACACGUAGGAGGCGAACGUUAUCCGGAUUUACUGGGCGUAAAGCGCGUGUAGGUGGUUCUGUAAGUAGGGCGUGAAAGCUCCUGGCUCAACUGGGAGAGGCCGUUCUAAACUGCAGAGCUAGAGGAUGGUAGAGGGAGGUGGAAUUCCGGGUGUAGCGGUGGAAUGCGCAGAUAUCCGGAGGAACACCAGUGGCGAAGGCGGCCUCCUGGACCAUUCCUGACACUCAGACGCGAAAGCUAGGGUAGCAAACGG